GUGCCAGCCGCCGCGGUAAUACGUAGGGUGCGAGCGUUAAUCGGAAUUACUGGGCGUAAAGGGUGCGCAGGCGGUUCUGUAAGUCAGAUGUGAAAUCCCCGGGCUUAACCUGGGAAUUGCGUUUGAAACUGCAGGGCUAGAGUGUGGCAGAGGGGGGUGGAAUUCCAUGUGUAGCAGUGAAAUGCGUAGAGAUAUGGAAGAACAUCGAUGGCGAAGGCAACCCCCUGGGUUAACACUGACGCUCAUGCACGAAAGCGUGGGGAGCAAACAGGAUUAGAUACCCUGGUAGUCCACGCCCUAAACUAUGUCAACUAGUUGUCGGGUCUUAUUAGAUUUGGUAACGUAGCUAACGCGUGAAGUUGACCGCCUGGGGAGUACGGUCGCAAGAUUAAA
rnacentral:rRNA from 1 species